CUUUCUCCAUGUUCUCUAUUCUGUCUGUCUGUCUCUCUUAUCUAUCUGUGUGUCUGUCUGUUUGUCUAUCAAUUCUUUCAGUGUGAGGAUUUGCAGAUCAAAAGCCACUUCUGUGUAUGAAGCAAAGGACUACUUAUGAUGAGGGUGGCACAGUGAUCAAAUAGAUGACUUCACUCAGCAAUCCAUCAUGUGCCAAGCAGAGACAUCUACUAUUGCCUCUGGGACAUUCUGGCCUUUGCCAUAGAGAUGAAAGAAAGAAAGAAAGAAAGAAAGAAAGAAAGAAAGAAAGAAAGAAAGAAAGAAAGAAAGAAAGAAAGAAAGAAAGAAAGAAAGAAAGAGGGAGUAGAAGCACAGAUACUGUUGUGUUCCAAAGGAUGAGUCACUACUUUGCAAUAAGUCUGAGAUGCUUAUUUAUUGCUCUUUUUUUUGGCUGAUAUGAAGCCGAGCUUCAUUUCUCAGCAGGAGUAACAGCGAGCAACUCUUCCCCCUCCCCCCCUACACCGACCAUUAAUCAUUGCAAGCCUGUUCCCAAGUGUACACAGAGUGGGAGUUGUGCCUACCAGUGGCCUUUAGCUGCCUCCAGUUCCAUGAAAUCACCGAGUGCAGCAACUCCUUUUACGAGAGCUGGGUUUAUUUGUAACUGAACAACUUCCUCCACUAUUUGAUAAGCUCAAAUAUUUGCUACUGAUAGUCAGAGAGUGUCACUUUUAUUAUCCCUAGGUCGCAUGCAUGCAUGCAGGGAGGCCAGAAGACCUGGUCUGAGUCCUCUUCUGCAACAGAACAUGAUUAACUCCUUGUAAGGUGGCAGCACAAAUGUUGGAACAGCAAGCUAAGGAUUCAUGUCCUCGGUUUUUAUACUUCAGAUUGGAACUCUGGAACUGGGACUCUUUGUAUUGGGAAGGAUUUGGAAGCUAAACAGCAGUUUGGGGUUGUUCCCCCACCUCCAGCAGAAGGCCUUCUCUGCCCCCUAGCUUCCUCCCUUCUGCUGAUAUCCUGAAAAUAAAUGACAAACUAAAGGACGGAAAUGCUUCA
rnacentral:lncRNA from 1 species